rnacentral:rRNA from 1 species
CAGUCGCCACGGGAAUACGUAGGGUGCAAGCGUUAAUCGGAAUUACUGGGCUUAAAGCGUGCGCAGGCGGUUUGUUAAGACAGAUGUGAAAUCCCCGGGCUCAACCUGGGAACUGCAUUUGUGACUGGCAGGCUAGAGUAUGGCAGAGGGGGGUGGAAUUCCGCGUGUAGCAGUGAAAUGCGUAGAUAUGCGGAGGAACACCGAUGGCGAAGGCAGCCCCCUGGGCCAAUACUGACGCUCAUGCACGAAAGCGUGGGGAGCAAACAGGAUUAGAGACCCCAGUAGUCCCUGUCUCUUAUAC